rnacentral:rRNA from 1 species
UACGGGGGGGGGCAAGCGUUGUUCGGAAUUACUGGGCGUAAAGGGCUCGUAGGCGGCCAACUAAGUCAGACGUGAAAUCCCUCGGCUUAACCGGGGGAACUGCAUCUGAUACUGGAUGGCUUGAGUUCGGGAGAGGGAUGCGGAAUUCCAGGUGUAGCGGUGAAAUGCGUAGAUAUCGAGAGGAACACCUGCGGCGAAGGCGGGUUGCUGGGCUGAUACUGACGCUGAGGCGCGAAAGCCAGGGGAGCGAACGGG